rnacentral:snRNA from 1 species
GGAUGUGAGGGUGAUCUGGCUGCAACAUCUGUCACCCUAUUGAUCACCAGGGUUGAUAUGGCCGAUCUGGCUGACUAGGCAGGUGUUCCCUUCCUCCCUUAACGCUCCAUGUGUGUAUCUCCCGAAGCUGUGUGCUCAGUUGAAGAGGACAACCACCCUCAAUAGAGGAAGAGUGUUCCUCCAUCAAGGGUAUACCAGUAGCUAUGCUGCCCUGCUAGAACCUCCACACAAGCUCUAUAAUAUUUCUAAGUAGAAUCAUUGAGAAACCAGAUUCAAAGGUCUUACUCUUU